UACCAGCACCCCGAGUGGUCGGGACGUUUAUUGGGCCUAAAGCAUCCGUAGCCGGUUCUACAAGUCUUCCGUUAAAUCCACCUGCUUAACAGAUGGACUGCGGAAGAUACUAUGGAGCUAGGAGGCGGGAGAGGCAAGCGGUACUCGAUGGGUAGGGGUAAAAUCCGUUGAUCCAUUGAAGACCACCAGUGGCGAAGGCGGCUUGCCAGAACGCGCUCGACGGUGAGGGAUGAAAGCUGGGGGAGCAAACCGG
rnacentral:rRNA from 1 species